UACGAAGGGGGCUAGCGUUGCUCGGAAUCACUGGGCGUAAAGCGCACGUAGGCGGCUUUCUAAGUCAGGGGUGAAAUCCUGGAGCUCAACUCCAGAACUGCCUUUGAUACUGGAGAGCUUGAGUCCGGAAGAGGUGAGUGGAACUCCGAGUGUAGAGGUGAAAUUCGUAGAUAUUCGGAAGAACACCAGUGGCGAAGGCGGCUCACUGGUCCGGUACUGACGCUGAGGUGCGAAAGCGUGGGGAGCAACAGG
rnacentral:rRNA from 1 species